GCAUUGACGGUACAGUGGUAGGAUUCUAGCCUUUCAUGCUGGAGACCUGGGUUCCAUUUCUAGCCAGUGUA
rnacentral:tRNA from 1 species